UUACUUGCGCAAAUCAAACGAACAUAAGAAGAAUUGCCAUCGAAGCCGCAAAACUGAAAAUGAUGGAUGAAGGUGAAUAUGCCAUAUUCAAUUUCGAGUUAUAUAAUAACGCCGAAUUGCCAUCUCGUCCAUGGUACUCUCGAAACGACACUGACGAAAAUAAUGAACUUGCAAGAAAAGGUUACGAGGCAAUCUACACCAUUAUGCCUCUAUCAGAAACAGAAUUCAAUUCUGUUGCACGUCAAACAAUGAGAGGUUCUAUUUGGCUUGAUGAAAUGUACGAUGGAAUGAUAAUGUAUCUACAAGCGCUGAAUCAAUCGCUUACUAAUGAAAAAUUCGACGGAUAUGCGGAGCAUAAUAUUUCAGGAUGUAGAAUGUUUCAUGGAAUGAUGGGAAAAACAUUCAGAGG